rnacentral:rRNA from 1 species
UCGAGGAUAUUUAGCAAUGGGCGAAAGCCUGACUAUGCGACGCCGCGUGAGGGAUGAAGGUUUUCGGAUCGUAAACCUCUUUCGAAGGGGAAGAAAACCCAGUACAUUAAUAAUGUGUUGGGCUGCCGGUACCCUGAGAAGAAGCCACGGCCAACUCCGUGCCAGCAGCCGCGGUAAUACGGGGGUGGCGAGCGUUACUCGGAUUUAUUGGGUGUAAAGGGCAGGUAGGCGGUUUCGAAGGUCGAAUGUGAAAUCCUUUGGCUUAACCAAAGAAGUGCAUUCGAAACUCCGAGACUUGAGUAUGGAAGAGGAGAGUGGAAUUCCCGGUGUAAGGGUGAAAUCUGUAGAUAUCGGGAGGAACACCAGUGGCGAAGGCGACUCUCUGGUCCGUAACUGACGC